GGUGCUUCUUCUGGUUGUGUGGAUUAAACAGAGUUGCAAAGCAGAAUAUCACAAGAAGAAUUCAGUAUAAUUAGAGCGUCUGUAUUAGAGAAAAUAAACUGAUGAACUGUACAGUAUAUGUGCAGAGCUGCUUGGGUCAGUGCUGCAUGGGAUUUGACUGCAGAGACCACUGACAACACAGGCUGAAUGGGAUGAAUAUGAUGUGGACGACCUCACGGUCUGGAAGGUACCUAUGGAGCCAGACGCCACAGUCAACUCCCAGUCGAGACCUGUUGACCCGCGACUCUCCCCUCAAUCCACUUCAGUCCAGUGAAUCAGGUUUCUGGAGAAAAAAACAAGAAACUAAAACCAGGCUCAAAGCCAUAUCUGUGGAACAUUCAUACAGGCUUUAGGAAGAGAGUAGGAAAGAAGAGGAAGGAACCACUGCAUUUGCCACGCAUGCAGAUACCAAAAGAGGAAAUAAAGGAUCAUCUAACCAGGCUCAGUGUCAACCCACCACCUGUUCAAUUGACAUGUCAAAUGCACCUUUGUGGAGCGGAUUGAUGUGGCUACCUGUGGCAGUGAUGCAUCUGAAACAAUGUACAGAAGGGUCUCCAGGUACGCAGAACAACAAACA